UGUUCAAAUCGAUUUAUACCGAAAUCGCUGUUUGUUUAGCGAAUCGGAGUCCAGGGGCGGGGACGCAGUCAGCACUAUGUAGAUCAGUAGUCACUAGUCAGCAGUCACUAGUCAUAGUCAGUAAGCUACAAGUGGGAUAACUAACACGAUAGCCCUGCUGGUUGCAGUUUAGUAUACCACAGAAAACUCUAAAAAAACAAAAAAAAAAAAAAAAAAAAAAAGAAAAAAAAGCAAACAAACUAACAAACAUCAGACAAAUGCUGGUUUUUCAUAAGGCCCCGUACAAAUUGUAGUUCCACUUGAUAGCCGCAAGGAUACUGCAGAAAAGCAAGAAAAUAGAGUUUCUCGCCCCUAUUUUCUUUCAUUUUUUUAGCUGAAUAGCUGUCAAAGCUGGUUUUGUAAAACCAAUCGAAUGUGUACUCGACUGAAAAGAAAUUGUUUUCGUCCCAGUAUAAAAACUAUAUUGCUAACGGCUCGUUAUUUAUAGAUGUCGAAAGAAAGUUAAGCAACCAAUGCCUGCUGACAAGUGAGAAAUCUGCAAAUUAAGAUAAGCCAGGCAUGUCAGAAUUCAUACUACCACAGACUCACCUCCCGAGUUCCAAAUUCAUUUGUCAAAAAUUCUUCAAUUCCAAAAUUCCAGACUCCAAAAAGUAAGGAUUUCGCAUAGGGUUCGAUUACCGCAUUGAAUGGGUGUUUUUCUUAAUUGUUUUUUGGUUGUUUGGGAAUUUAAGUGCUCGAUUGCUGUUUGUUUUUGUUUUCUUACUCAUGAUCUCCAUUCGGGUUUCAAAAGGGGGCAAUCAAACAGCAAAACCCGAUCCCAUUAACCGGUUCAUAUCGUUUUCCUCGCAUCUACCCUGAUUUUAACCAUGCUAUUUAUUACUAUUCAGGAAUCAGGAUUAUUUUAUAUUGAAAAUUUUAUUCCUUGGUAGCCUUCUUUUUAAUUUGGCAUCAUUCAAGCCACGUUUUAGAAAACUGUGGUGGGUCAGCCUAGUUUGCCUAAAAAGAGCGCCCCAAUCGACCCAGCCUGGAACGUUGGCGCCUAAAACAUACUUUUUUUUUUGGUGGGAAACUAUGUUAGACCUGGGUUUAGUAAACAAAAACCGAUUGCGCCGUAAUUUUAUUAUGUUUUUUUUGUGGUUUUGGCAACGUUGCGAUUUUAACCGUCACCUCUCACCUGACUACCUGAGUCCCACUAGAUACUGGAUGGAUUAACUUAGCUUCGUGAAAGAUGGGUUGUUUUGUUUGAUUUUACAUUUCACAGCUUGUAACAUCCCUCAUUUAAAAUUAGCGUUUGGAGAAUAAAUGACACGUUAAUCAUUUCUUUAAUUGCCUACCAUCUUCCACAGUCUGGCACGGAAAAGUAAAAAUUUUUGUGGGAUAAACAAAAACUUAUUUCUUUAAGAGGAAUCUGUCGAUAGUCCUUACAGCUGUGAUUCGAUUCCGGAAAAAGAAUACUAUGCCUACUUGUACUACUAAACCAAUGGAACUAGUUUGGGUUUCAAAAACAGAAAUGAAAAUCAUUCAUUUUUGCAAGAAGAUAUAAUUCACAGCCUUGUAUACCAUAUCCACCACGGGAUACAUGCUGCGUCGUUCAUUUUAUAUGAAGGUGUCAUCAACCCUUUGCUUCUGGUCAUACGGUAAGUAUUUUCACCAAUUGUCACCAUUCCAACAGGAAUUGGUUGUAAAUCAUUUGUGUGUCUAAUUGACUGUUGGUUGUGGUUAUAAGGAUAAAUUUUCCAGGAAUUCGUCCGUCUUCCAUAGCGUCUAAAUCUUAUUCAAAUUCCAUGUACUUAUAGUUUAGAAGAAUAAGCUUUCUUAAUUCAAAGAAAUGAAGUCGUUAAAUUGGGUGUACCGGCUUUUUUGGUUCCUCCUGAGAUUCCAAUAAACGGCUCGAUGGUCUAGGGGUAUGAUUCUCGCUUAGGGUGCGAGAGGUCCCGGGUUCAAAUCCCGGUCGAGCCCGUUUAAAGAUUUUUUUUCUUCAAUUGCUCGAACUUUAUUAUAUGAAACCAUUUAUUGAUUUUUAUUCGUUUCCUUCCGACCAGUGUUGGUGUAGGCCUAAAUACCCCCUUCGUCAUGUAGUUCUUCAUUUUAAAAUUUGACGAGGAAUCAGAGGGCCUUCAUGUUUUCAAUAUUGCGAAAGUAUUGUGAACUUACUUGAUGCUGGAAACACACAUAUUCAUAAACAAAAAAGUUUGAAAAAGAAUGAAAUUUUUUAC